rnacentral:rRNA from 1 species
GACGAACGCUGGCGGCGUGCCUAAUACAUGCAAGUCGAACGCAGUGGGGACGGGUGAGUAACACGUGGGUAACCUCCCAUCAGAGGGGAUAACACUUGGAAACAGGUGCUAAACCGAUACUGAUGGAUGGACCCGCGGUGCAUUAGCUAGUUGGUGGGGUAACGGCUCACCAAGGCCACGAUGCCUAGCCGGUCUGAGAGGGGGAUCGGCCACACUGGAACUGAGACAAGGCCCAGACUCCUACGGGAGGCAGCAGUAGGGAAUCUUCGGCAAUGGACGAAAGUCUGACCGAGCAAUGCCGCGUGAUUGAAGAAGGUUUUCGGAUUGUAAAAUUCUGUUGUUAGAGAAGCGGUAUCUAACCAGAAAGCCACGGCUAACUACGUGCCAGCCGCCGCGGUAAUUC